CCCUUAGAUGUUCUGGGCCGCACGCGCGCUACACUGAAUGGAUCAACGUGUUUUCCCUUCCCGAGAGGGACGGGUAACCCGCUGAACCCCAUUCGUGGUAGGGAUCGGAGCUUGCAAUUGUUCUCCGUGAACCAGGAAUUCCCAGUAAGCGCAAGUCAUAAGCUUGCGUUGAUUACGUCCCUGCCCUUUGUACACACCGCCCGUCGCUACUACCGAUUGAACGUUUUAGUGAGGUACUCGGACUGAGCCUCAGAAGAUUCACGUCUUUUGUGCUGCUCGGGAAGAUUCCCAAACUUGAGCGUUUAGAGGAAGUAAAANUCGUANCA
rnacentral:rRNA from 1 species